rnacentral:tmRNA from 1 species
GAAACGGCGACUAAGCGUGUAGAAAGCUUUCGGGUUCCCUGUUUGGACGCGGGUUCGACUCCCGCCACCUCCACGA